AUUGAACGCUGGCGGCAUGCUUUACACAUGCAAGUCGAACGGCAGCACGGACUUCGGUCUGGUGGCGAGUGGCGAACGGGUGAGUAAUACAUCGGAACGUACCCAGUAAUGGGGGAUAACUAUCCGAAAGGAUAGCUAAUACCGCAUACGCCCUACGGGGGAAAGAGGGGGAUCGCAAGACCUCUUGUUAUUGGAGCGGCCGAUGGCUGAUUAGCUAGUUGGUAGGGUAAAGGCCUACCAAGGCAACGAUCAGUAGCGGGUCUUAGAGGACGGUCCGGCACACUGGAACUGAGACACGGUCCAGACUCCUACGGGAGGCAGCAGUGGGGAAUCUUGGACAAUGGGCGCAAGCCUGAUCCAGCAAUGCCGCGUGCGUGAAGAAGGCCUUCGGGUUGUAAAGCGCUUUUGUCAGGGAGCAAAUCCUUGUGGCUAAUACCCACCGGGGAUGAGAGUACCUGAAGAAUGAGGACCGGCUAACUACGUGCCAGCCGCCGCAGUAACAC
rnacentral:rRNA from 1 species